GAAACUCCUGCUAAUACCGCAUAGCCAUGAGCACCGCAUGGAGCUCAUGCCAAAUAUCCUUUCGGGGAUAGCGCAGGGAUGGACCUAUGGCGCAUUAGCUUGUUGGCGGGGCAAUGGCCCACCAAGGCAACGAUGCGUAGCCGGCCUGAGAGGGCGGACGGCCACAUUGGGACUGAGACACGGCCCAGACUCCUACGGGAGGCAGCAGUAGGGAAUUUUCGGCAAUGGGGGAAACCCUGACCGAGCAACGCCGCGUGAGCGAAGAAGGCCUUCGGGUCGUAAAGCUCUGUUGUAAAGGAAGAACGGCGCAUACAGGAAAUGGUAUGCGAGUGACGGUACUUUACCAGAAAGCCACGGCUAACUACGUGCCAGCAGCCGCGGUAAUACGUAGGUGGCGAGCGUUAUCCGGAAUCAUUGGGCGUAAAGAGGGAGCAGGCGGCCGCAAGGGUCUGUGGUGAAAGACCGAAGCUAAACUUCGGUAAGCCAUGGAAACCGGGCGGCUAGAGUGCGGAAGAGGAUCGUGGAAUUCCAUGUGUAGCGGUGAAAUGCGUAGAUAUAUGGAGGAACACCAGUGGCGAAGGCGACGGUCUGGGCCGCAACUGACGCUCAUUCCCGAAAGCGUGGGGAGCAAAUAGGAUUAGAUACCCUAGUAGUCCACGCCGUAAACGAUGGUCACUAAGUGUCGGGGGUCAAACCCCGGUGCU
rnacentral:rRNA from 1 species